GCGGGUGUAGCUUAGUGGAAAAGCAUCUCGUUGCCAACGAGAAGAGCGCGGGUUCGAGCCCCGUCACCCGCUCCA
rnacentral:tRNA from 1 species